GUUUUGCAUUAGGGAUUGCAGCGGCAUCCUUUUUUAAUCCGUUUUGGUUAAAAAAGAUAUAGCGGAAAGCCCGACUUUUU
rnacentral:sRNA from 1 species